CCUACGGGUGGCAGCAGUGAGGAAUAUUGGUCAAUGGCCGAGAGGCUGAACCAGCCAAGUCGCGUGAGGGAAGAAGGCCCUACGGGUUGUAAACCUCUUUUGUCGGGGAGCAAAGCGAGUCACGUGUGACUCAUUGAGAGUACCAGAAGAAAAAGUAUCGGCUAACUACGAGCCAGCAGCCGCGGUAAUACGGAGGAUGCGAGCGUUAUCCGGAUUUAUUGGGUUUAACGGGUGCGCAGGCGGAGGUGCAAGUCAGCGGUAAAAUUGCGGGGCUCAACCCCGUACUGCCGUUGAAACUGCAUCCCUUGAGUGCGCGAGAAGUAUGCGGAAUGCGUGGUGUAGCGGUGAAAUGCAUAGAUAUCACGCAGAACUCCGAUUGCGAAGGCAGCAUACCGGCGCGCAACUGACGCUCAUGCACGAAAGCGUUGGUAUCGAACAGGAUUAGAUACCCCGGGUAGUC
rnacentral:rRNA from 1 species